rnacentral:tRNA from 1 species
UCGCCGGAUCGGGCCGGAAACCCGCCGCAGCGGACUACGGAUCAGCAGGUCGGGGGUUCAAAUCCUCCACGGCGCACCA